rnacentral:rRNA from 1 species
CCUACGGGAGGCAGCAGUGAGGAAUAUUGGUCAAUGAACGAGAGUCUGAACCAGCCAAGUAGCGUGAAUGAUGACUGCCCUAUGGGUUGUAAACUUCUUUUAUAUGGGAAUAAAAUGUUCCACGUGUGGGAUUUUGUAGGUACCAAAUGAAUAAGGAUCGGCGAACUCCGUGCCAGCAGCCGCGGUAAUACGGAGGAUCCGAGCGUUAUCCGGAUGUAUUGGGUUUAAAGGGAGCGUAGGUGGAUGGUUAAGUCAGUGGUGAAAGUUUGCGGCUCAACCGUAAAAUUGCAGUUGAAACUGGCAGUCUUGAGUACAGUAGAGGUGGGCGGAAUUCGUGGUGUAGCGGUGAAAUGCUUAGAUAUCACGAAGAACUCCGAUUGCGAAGGCAGUUCACUGGACUGCAACUGACACUGAGGCUCGAAAGUGUGGGUAUCAAACAGGAUUAGAUACCCGAGUAGUC